CCUACGGGUGGCAGCAGUGAGGAAUAUUGGUCAAUGGGCUUACGCCUGAACCAGCCAAGUCGCGUGAGGGAAGACUGCCCUAUGGGUUGUAAACCUCUUUUGUCAGGGAGCAACGCCGGCUACGUGUAGCCUGACUGAGAGUACCUGAAGAAAAAGCAUCGGCUAACUCCGUGCCAGCAGCCGCGGUAAUACGGAGGAUGCGAGCGGUAUCCGGAUUUAUUGGGUUUAAAGGUUGCGUAGGCGGAAUGCCAAGUCAGCGGUAAAACCGCGGGGCUCAACCUCGCUCCGCAGUUGAAACUGGCGUUCUUGAGUGGGCGAGAAGUAUGCGGAAUGCGUGGUGUAGCGGUGAAAUGCAUAGAUAUCACGCAGAACUCCGAUUGCGAAGGCAGCAUACCGGCGCUCAACUGACGCUCAUGCACGAAAGUGUGGGUAUCGAACAGGAUUAGAUACCCGGGUAGUC
rnacentral:rRNA from 1 species